GCUGAAAGCGCGCGUACAUAAGAAAAACAAAGAAAGAUUAUUAAAAAAUACUCAUAAAUCGAUAUAUGCUUGAGUAAGAAUAUUAAAUGUGUACAACUAAUCGCUUAAUCCUUUAACUCAAAACUUCAUACUAAUUUGCGCAAACGGGGAGAAAACCACUAACCAAACUCAAACUCAACUAGAAGGCAGCGAGCGAAUUCAGUGAAACUCAAGGCAAACACAAAAAACUGAAACACGGAGUUAGCGAUUCGAGCAUUUUUUUUCAAGUUUUUAUUUUUAUUUUUCAAUUUUUUUCUUGCAACUACUCAAUGCACUGAACAUUUUUAGCUGUUGUUGUAAGAAAAAAAGCUUUUAACGGAACAAAAAUCAUUACCCAAAAGCUAAAGUAUUAGGAGAGAAAAAACUAAAAAUAUUGGAAAUAAGUGCAAAUAGCAGAAAUUAAUUAGAAGCUGUGAUUGUGUAAGCAAUGUAUAAAUUUUUGCUACUGGCAAUACUACGGGACUACAGCUAAGAAAAGAAAAAUAGGUUCUACAUUACGUAAUUGCUGCAUGCAAAUAUCAAGCGUAUUAUUACACUAGAGUACCGAAUAAAUAUUAAAAGCACUACUAUAUUAUACUA